rnacentral:lncRNA from 1 species
UCUCAAAAUAGAAUAUUUAUAUAUAUACAUAGAUGAGAGACUCAAAACUAACUGACUGACUGACUGUCUAUGAAGCCUCUAUAACACUGAGAUGGAUGUUGGGACAGACCCCGCAACAUCCUAAUAAAACAAAACUAAGAGAACAAAAUAACCGAGUCCUCCAGAAUGCAAAGAGGCUCACUACUGACUCGGGAGUGCUCAG